AGUGAAAUUUAACUAAAGCAACUUAAGUGACCAUUAACUAGGAUUAAUUGGUUCAGUGUUCAGUAAAAUGUUUAGAUUUUGAUAUAAAUAGUAACUUUAAAAUACUUAACAAAAUUUAGAAAAUUGACAAAAUGGUAAAUAAAUGAUAAAAAACGUUUUUGUAUAAUACAAUUUUACAACUUCACAUCACUAGUCCUAUUACAUUAUUUAAUUAGGUGUACAUAUUAGAUGUGUAGACUUCAAAAUAAACGAGUUUAAAUGAUCUCAUUCAUCUGUUUAAAAUGUAAGAAAAAACAUGUUUAUAUUUUAUUUGAUCAUCUAUUUUUCAAUAUUUUCAAUGAGCUUGAACAUUAAUUGGGUCAUUCAUUUUAAUUCAGAAUAUAAAUUUCACAUUGAAAAUUUAGGCUAAUUAAGUAAUGAAUCUAAUCACUACAAAUUAAAUUCUAAGAUAAUUUUGCUAAACUACAAAAUAUAAAAUAUAAUAUAACAAAUAUACUGUGAUGACCUCUUUAAAUUAUACAUUUUAAGAUUUCCUCUUAAAUAGGAUU